CCCGGGCUGUCAGAGCCGGCCUGUCCCGGGCAGGCUCGGGGCGACCGCGGGAUGCGGCGCUGAGCGCGCUCCGCUCGCUUUCUCCGUCCGUCUGUCCGUCCGUCCAUCGGUCUCCCCGCCCGGGCUCCCGCACGCCGAGAUUCCCUCCCGCAGCCCAUGAUGUGCCUGGAAAGCGACGGCUCCUCCGGCAGCAGCCCGGUCUGCGGCGGGCGGCUCCGAGCUGGCGACGAGGAGGAGGAGGAGGACGGCGAGCGGGGCUGCUGCGGCCGGGGCGCCGAGGGCGAGGUGCAGACCCUGUCGGGCAGGAUGAACCCCCCGCCGGCCGGCAAGCACCCCGACCGCCCCGCCGCCCUCCGCAAGGCGCCGACCCUCGGCCGGGCCCGGGUAGCGGCCGCCGGCAUCCUCAGCGUGGGCAACGUGCUCAACUACCUGGACCGGUACACCGUGGCAGGUGUGUUACUGGACAUCCAGCAGCACUUUGGAGUCAAAGACAGUGGGGCUGGCUUGCUGCAGACAGUUUUUAUCUGUAGUUUCAUGGUGGCGGCGCCGAUCUUUGGUUACCUUGGUGACCGGUUCAACAGAAAGAUCAUCCUCAGCUGUGGCAUCUUCUUUUGGUCAGCUGUCACUUUUUCAAGCUCCUUCAUCACGGAACAGUAUUUCUGGCUCCUUGUGCUCUCACGGGGUUUGGUUGGCAUUGGUGAAGCGAGUUAUUCCACUAUUGCACCAACCAUCAUUGGAGACCUGUUCACCAGAAACACGAGGACCCUGAUGCUGUCUGUUUUCUACUUUGCAAUUCCUCUGGGCAGUGGCUUGGGAUACAUCACUGGCUCGAGUGUGAAGCAGGUUGCUGGAGACUGGCACUGGGCACUGCGGGUAUCUCCACUCCUAGGAAUGAUAACAGGGACACUCAUCUUGAUAUUUGUGCCUGCUGCUAAAAGAGGAAAUGCUGAACAGCUUGGGGGGCAGCUGAAGGCUCGGACUUCAUGGCUGAGAGACAUGAAAGCAUUGAUUAGAAACCGCAGCUAUGUGUUCUCCUCCCUGGCCACCUCAGCUGUCUCCUUUGCCACGGGGGCACUGGGAAUGUGGAUCCCUCUGUACCUCCACAGAGCACAGGUCGUGCAGAAGACAGCAGAGACCUGCAGCUCCCAGCCCUGUGGCACCAAAGAUAGUUUGAUCUUCGGAGCAAUCACAUGCUUCACUGGCUUCCUGGGUGUGAUCACAGGAGCAGGAGCCACCAAGUGGUGCAGGUCCAAGACCCAGCGAGCUGAUCCUCUCGUCUGUGCUGUUGGAAUGCUGGGAUCAGCCAUCUUCAUCUGUCUGAUCUUCGUGGCAGCCAAGAGCAGCAUCGUGGGAGCCUAUAUUUGCAUUUUUAUCGGAGAAACUCUUCUCUUCUCAAACUGGGCUAUCACAGCAGACAUACUAAUGUACGUGGUCAUUCCAACUCGCCGUGCAACCGCAGUGGCCUUGCAGAGUUUCACUUCACACCUCCUGGGAGAUGCUGGCAGUCCUUAUCUCAUUGGAUUUAUCUCCGACCUGAUACGCCAAAGCACAAAGGAGUCCCCAGUCUGGGAGUUCCUCAGCCUGGGCUACGCGCUCAUGCUCUGCCCCUUCGUGGUUGUCCUGGGAGGGAUGUUCUUCCUGGCCACAGCCCUCUUCUUCCUCAGUGACCGAGCUAAAGCUGAGCAACAUAAAGAAACCGAUUCGGAUCAUCUCACGGUUGGCAACUACAGUAAUUCGGAAGACGCUUCCACAUGACAUACAAACUUCUGGGGGUGAACCAGCUUGUGAUGCCACCAGCCUCUGUGAAAGUCUGAGAUGCUGCCAGUGCAGGCAAGGACGCGUGGACUCCUGCUCCCACCUCACCAGUCUCCAUCUGGAGCCCUUCUGUGCUGGGUACCAGUGGAUCCUUCAGCUCCACAUCACAGAGGGGUCUGCACACCAAACCCAUCCCUCGCUCCAGCCUGCAGGGUCAGGCACAGGAGAUGAGCAGGGCAGCUGGGAACGUGGCAACUUCUGGAACUGAGGACAUUCACGGGGUCCCCUGAGCAUGGAAACCAACUGUCCAUGGACCCAGGGAAAGCUGCCCAAGUGAGCAACUGUAGAUUGUGUAAAUGGUUUUAGUUGUAGCCAGUGAAGUCCACGUUGUUUGUAGGGCAGCUGGUGUCCUAUGGAAUGCUGCUGCUCUGCCAGCACUCCCACUCCCACAGACUGCACUAGUUGAGGACCUGUUCUGUACAUCACCUUUUCUUUGACACUGAAGGCUUGAUUCAGAUUAUUAUUUUUUAUUUAAA